AAACUAUGAUGUGGACAGCUUCUCAGUAAAUUCUUGAAACAUUCCCAACAAUCGUACAAAAUCUCAUUCUCUUGUUCAAGAAACCCUGCUAUGUCAUUCCUCAACUU